UUAUGUCUAUAUUUAUUUAUUUAUAAAUUAUUUGGAUCCAGUACUAUAAUAACAAUUACACACAUUGUAACUCCUACACAAUUUGAAAUUUUCAAGUUAAGACAAAGGUAACUAUAUAUAGAAGCAGUAUGUUUUCUGAACCCUUACAGAUUGUUUUGCACACUCCUGGAUUACACACAUCUCAUCAAUCUCAAGAAUAAAAUCAAAGUCUUUGGCUUGACAGCCUUCCACAAUCUGACCUCUGUUUUCUCGCCAGCCUCAUCUCCUGUCAUUCACAACAUUUCCAGCAUUCCAACCAGUCUGAACUUUUGCAGUUUCCCACGUGCGCUAGGCUCUUUCUUCAUCAGCAUCUCUAUGCAUGCUGUCUCCUGCUACUGGAAUGCCCUCAUUCUCGUUGCUUCCUCUGUUUUGAAGAAAAGCUGUGAUACCGGCAACAGUGUUUAAGUAUCACACGGGUAGUUAAAAGGCAAGUUGGUCCUAUCUGACAUGUGGAAAUGGCCAGCUCGUUAGAAGGCAGUACCUGGUGAAGC
rnacentral:lncRNA from 1 species